UGCAGCGUGACUGCAGAAUGGGAAGCUGCAAAAUGCUGAGAAAAAGGCAGCAGCACUGGCAACCCCCGCUGACGCGCCGUAACCCUAACACUCGCGUCAAACUCUUCUUGACGACACUCUUGCUCGAGAAGCUGAAGGCUCGGCUCUGAAGCAAAAAGUUGAAUGUGCGACUGCACGCGCUCUUUCUCUCCAACAUUCAUUGGCUUGUUUUGUUGACACUCGAAGGCGAUUUGUCUCUCUAGCGAGAUCCCCGAUUUCAUCAGUCACUGACGUAACAUUGAAAGUGACUGACUGAAAGGGAAGACCAACUACACAUUGACUACAAAAGAUGGUGUAGAACAGGAUAAAGGAUAAAUAAUGACAACCAUCAGGUCGUGGAUUAAUGCACAGUAGGGCUGGGAAUCGAUUCCAAAAAGAAUCGAUUCCUCGAUUCCGAGGCGUUGGGAAUUGAGAGUCGAUUCCAAAGGUUGGAAUCGAUUCCAUUUAGGGGAAUCGACUCCUCUUUAAGAUUUUUUUUUUUUAACACAAAACGCGGCCUGUAGCCGAUUUCAUUUGUCAACACAAUCACGUCACCUGUAAAGAAAUAAAGUUCAGACUAAAUAAAUGGAUCCAGUCGUGACACAGAGUAUGGUUUAGGGUAGAAUGAUUAUUUCAGCAUUGUGUAGGCAAUCAGCGCAAUGACUGACCCAAUGAAAUCUUUAGAAUCGGUUGCUGGGCGGGGUUUGAUCUUACUCGUUGUAAAUCAAUCGACAACAACAAUCACUCACACUUACGCGAAGAAGAAUGCCUCCAAGGUCAACAUCAGUAGUCUGGCGCUACUUUACGUUAGAUUCGACAAAAAAUGAAGUUAAAUGCCAAAUUUGCCAUAAAAAAUUAGCAUAUAAUAAAACAACAUCCCCAAUGAUAAAACAUCUUAGGGCCGUUCACAAAAAGGAGGUGACAGAGGAGGAUCAGGAGGAUGGGGAGGGAGAAACUCCGCCUGCCCCGAAAAAGCGUUUGAUCCAGCCAUCAAUUGAACAACAGUUUGGGGCCAAGAUGCCAUACCCUGGUAGGUGUUUACUCAAAUUAUUUAUUGUAAGAUUAUUUGGUGUAGGGAAACUAAGCAAGUAUACAGUAUAAUCAUCCCAUAUAAAUUUUCUGAUGUAUGUCAAUAAUAGUGCUGUAGUAAUUUGAGUCUUAGUUGGUUAGUUUAGGUUAUUUUUUGCACAUAAGAUUUAAAAUGUCUUUCUUUUGUCUGACUCGCUGUUUUCUUUAUAUGAUUGUUCUUUCAUUGUAGCUCAUAGUCUUCCCAAACAAAAACUGGAUCAAAAGCUAAUUGAGUUCAUAAUCAAGGACAUGCAGCCACUAUCUGUUGUGGAGGAUAAAGGUUUUCGAGCAUUCGUGAAUACACUUGAUCCAAAGUACAGGAUUCCAUGCAGACAAACAACAAAACAACUAAUUUUGGAAAGAUAUUCAAAAGAAAAACAAGCUCUGAAGGACCAGCUCACUGUACGUCUGAGUAACUUUUUUUCCUCUGUCAUUAUUUCCCCUCUAUUUCAAUAUGCUGUUUUGUUUUAUGCUUUUCUAAAUGCAAAAUGUUAAAUGGCUAUAUUCAUAAAUUGAUUAAUCAUUUAGUAAAUACCAUAUACUAAUAAAUGUAAAUGACAGAUUUUUUAUUUAUUAACA
ensembl:lncRNA